GUGGACGCCAGUCUGCGUGGAGCCGACCUUGAAAUACCACCCUUUAAUGUUUGAUGUUCUAACGUGGACCCGUAAUCCGGGUUGCGGACAGUGUCUGGUGGGUAGUUUGACUGGGGCGGUCUCCUCCUAAAGAGUAACGGAGGAGCACGAAGGUUGGCUAAUCCUGGUCGGACAUCAGGAGGUUAGUGCAAUGGCAUAAGCCAGCUUGACUGCGAGCGUGACGGCGCGAGCAGGUGCGAAAGCAGGUCAUAGUGAUCCGGUGGUUCUGAAUGGAAGGGCCAUCGCUCAACGGAUAAAAGGUACUCCGGGGAUAACAGGCUGAUACCGCCCAAGAGUUCAUAUCGACGGCGGUGUUUGGCACCUCGAUGUCGGCUCAUCACAUCCUGGGGCUGAAGUAGGUCCCAAGGGUAUGGCUGUUCGCCAUUUAAAGUGGUACGCGAGCUGGGUUUAGAACGUCGUGAGACAGUUCGGUCCCUAUCUGCCGUGGGCGCUGGAGAACUGAGGGGGGCUGCUCCUAGUACGAGAGGACCGGAGUGGACGCAUCACUGGUGUUCGGGUUGUCAUGCCAAUGGCACUGCCCGGUAGCUACAUGCGGAAGAGAUAAGUGCUGAAAGCAUCUAAGCACGAAACUUGCCCCGAGAUGAGUUCUCCCUGAGACUUAGAGUCUCCUGAAGGAACGUUGAAGACGACGACGUUGAUAGGCCGGGUGUGUAAGCGCAGCGAUGCGUUGAGCUAACC
rnacentral:rRNA from 1 species